CCUACGGGUGGCAGCAGUGGGGAAUAUUGCGCAAUGGGCGAAAGCCUGACGCAGCGACGCCGCGUGAGGGAUGAAGGUCUUCUGAUCGUAAACCUCUGUCAGCAGGGAAGUACGGUCACUGUGCUAAUCAGCAGUGAAUUGACGGUACCUGCAAAGGAAGCACCGGCUAACUCCGUGCCAGCCGCCGCGGUAAUACGGAGGGUGCGAGCGUUAAUCGGAAUUACUGGGCGUAAAGCGCUCGUAGGCGGUAUGUCAAGUCAAGGGUGAAAUCCCCGCGCUCAACGUGGGAACUGCCUUUGAAACUGGCAAACUGGAGUGUGUGAGAGGAUAGUGGAAUUCCAGGUGUAGGAGUGAAAUCCGUAGAUAUCUGGAGGAACAUCAGUGGCGAAGGCGACUAUCUGGCACAUAACUGACGCUGAGGAGCGAAAGCGUGGGUAGCAAACAGGAUUAGAUACCCCAGUAGUC
rnacentral:rRNA from 1 species